rnacentral:lncRNA from 1 species
GGAUUCUCACUUGCAGUUACAGACUGCUGAGAGUGAUCCUGACACGAGGAGGACGAAGGAUAAAAAUAUCUAACCAAACCCAGGUACUAUGUUGACUGUUGUCAAAGUGUGGAGUAACAGAAAAUAUCUGAACUGCUGUUGCGAAAUAUUUUUGAAAUAUUUUUCUUUGGAUUCUGAAUAUGAUAAUUNNNNNNNNNNNNNNNNNNNNNNNNNNNNNGGGGGGGGGGGGGACUAUCGAGCAAAGUGUAGUUUAAUUGAGAGAAAAAAAAAUGGGAAAGAAAGUGUCAGAUCCAUGGCCCAUCUUACUCGAUGUGAAUGAGAACCGAGAGCUGCAUGUAAUUAUUAUGGUAAAACUUAUGAUUGUCAUCCUGUAAGGAAUGGGACUAUUAAUAUGACCAAUCAUCUUAAGAUUUGAUGAAAAAGUAGACCUCCUCACACUAGGCUUCCAGUACUGCGGUUGUUUUUUUUUUUUUUUGAUAAGGAAGAAUGUAAGAAUGCUUGUGCUAAAAUUGUUGUGCUUGAUGAAUUGCCAUUUAGUUUUGUUGAGGGUAAGUGAUUUCGUUAUUUUUAUUAUGUUGUUUUCCCCAGUUUGAGCCAUUUUCUUAGGGGACCAGGGAUGGCUUUAAGUAUAGGCGAGCAAGGUGACUGCCUAAGGCCCUAUAUUUUUUGAAGGCCUCAUUUUUUUUUUUAGUAUUUUUUAAUAGUUCUUUAAUUAAUAAAUAUCUUUUUUUUUUAAAAUUAUGUAUUGUAGAAAACCCUAUUAGACAUCUUUAUAAUUAACAGUUAUACCAUAACUAAGAAUUUUUUUUAUUUCUUUAUAGAAAAUCAAUAUUUGGUAACCUUAAUGUUCAAAAGAUAUCAUUAAUAAAAUUGUUUAGUCAUUAAUUCAUUCAUUAUUAGUUUUUCUAAAAAAACAAUUUACAUUUUUUACCUUUUAACUUUCCUAAAAAAAUUAAAUUUUUUUACUUUUAAUAUUCCUUUUAAUUCCUUGUAGUAUAAAAAAUCAAUAGAUAAAUAGAUUUCUUGCUCUCUUUUUUUUUUUUUUUACAAAAAGAAUUAUUACAUUCCUUGAUUCAUUUUAAAAAGAAAAAAUUAGUUUCUUAAAAUACAAAGUGCAUAUCUAUUAUUUGAUAACCAAUUCAUCAUCUCAAUUUUCUGCUAUUCUAAAUAGAAAAAUAUUCUAUUUGAAAAAAAUAUUGUUUUUAUUUAUUUGUUUGUUUAUUUUUGUAAUAAUUUUAAUGGAAGUAAAAAAGAUAUCUUCUUGCUUAUUUUUUUAAGUUUGGUUUUUGAAAAUUUUUAAGAUCUUUUUUAUUACUAUUAAAAUUCAAGAGUUAAAAGUCGAAUAAAUUUUGUAGUCUUUUAUAUUUCUUUGAGUAUUGAAAUUACAAAAUAAAAAAAGGCCCUACAAAAAUUUUUUGCCUAAGGCCCCACAUACUCUAAAGCCGGCCCUAUAGGGGACACUUGUUUGAGAUGUCUAUCAGUUGCAUUAGAUAAGAAGAUAGCACUAAAAAAUACCUUUAUUGCUAGUAAGAUGAGGGUGUGUAUUUACCAUUGACAUGUGAAACUCUAUAUAGAAUACCAAUUGUAUGGUUGUGACAAUUUAUUUUGUUGAUCAUGAUUGGCAAUUGUUAAGGAAAAUCUUAAGUUUUAGUCAAAUAACAAAUCACAAAGGGGACUUAAUUGGGAAAGAGAUUGAGACUGUUUUGCAUUAUUGGAGUAUAAAUAGAGUAGUUACAAUUACUAAAGAUAAUUAUGCUGCAAAUGAUUUGGUUGUCAAGUAUGUGAAGAUAAAGUUAGAGAGUUGGCAAGUAGAUGGAACAUUGCUGGGUGCUAAAUUUCUACAUUUGCGAUGUUGUGCACAUAUUAUAAACUUGACUGUUAGUGAAGGAUUGAUAGAGUUGAAAGGUUCAAUUGCUAGCAUUUGUAAUGUAAUGAGGUAUAUAUGAUCAUCUUUGGCAAUGGAGAAUAGGGUUAAAAAGUGUAUUAAACAUGAGAAGAUUAAAAGUAGAGGGUCUGUAGUGUUAGAUGUUGUUACUCGAUGGAACUCUAUCUAUUUGGUGUUUGAUAGUGCAUUAAGGUUUUGAAAGGUAUUUGAACAAUGGGGAGAAGAGGAUGAGUAUUAUCGUAUUAGUUUCAAAUAAAAUGUGGAUGAAAGUGAAAACACAAGGCCACCUAAACCUGAAGAUUGGGAUAAUGCAACUCAUUUUUUAGAGAUUUUUAAGGAUGCGGCUUUGAAGUUUAAUGCCUCUUUAACUGUAACCUCCAAUUUGUAAUUUCAUUGGGUGAGUGAAUUUUUUUUUUUUGUUAUUAUUUUUAAAAUUUUAAAUUGUUUGGUUUAAAAGGUUAAUUACUUAAUUAGCAUGAUGUUUAGUAUUAAUAAUGCAAUUUCUAUUAUUUUGUUUAUAUUAUUCUAGGUGAAUACUAUCCAAUCUCUAUUCACAACAAAGUGUCAAGACGCAGAUUCUAUGUUGAGUAAAAUGGGAAAAAAAAUUGAGGACAAAGUUUGACAAAUAUUGGGGUUCAAUGGGCAACAUGCCAACAUGAACAAAUUGUUGAUUAUUCCAGUUGUGCUUGAUCCUUGAUAUAAGUUAGAGUGUUUUCAUUUUGUUAUGAAUCUUUGUAUAAUGCCAACAAGAUUGAAGCAAUAAUGGCCUAAUGUUGGAAGGAAAAAGAAAAAAAAAAAAAAACAAGCCAAGGCCAAGGAUCAAUGACUCGUGUGAGAUUAAAAAUGCUCUAAUACCAUGUUAAGACAAAAGGUUUGAAUGGUAAAAUAUAUCAAAUUGUAUUACUGCACGUUCUAGCUUUAUACAAGUGAUUAGAUAUUGUACAAGGAAAAAUGAGAAACUAAAGCCUAAGAUUAGGGAGAAUUACAAUAGAGAAAAUCAAGUCCAUAACAGUUCCUAAACUUUAGUAUUUACAUUUAAUUUCUCUUGAUUUAUGUGUGAGAUUGAUUCUUGCCUAUUACUAAUUAUUGUCAUAUUUACAUGUCAAAAUAGUCUUUAAUUGAUAAAUAAGGAUCUUCAUGUGAUUAUGUGAUUCCUAUAAACACGGGUAAAUACAUAUUUAAAUAAUUAAUUAUUUUACGACAAAUUACACGGCCAUGCCUAUUGAGAACCUAAUAUAAUCAUGUCUUAAGUGGCACUGCUGCAAUCAAAUAAGGACUGUCUGCUAUUAAAAUUAUUGAAACCGUAUACCCUAACAAGCGGGAGGAGGAGGAGCAAAGUGCAGAAAGCAAACGAGGUUUUAAUGCUCUAUCCUCAAGUAUUGCCGUGAAAAAAUCCAUUCGCUAUUAACGAAAGUUGCGUCCAAAAAAAGGUGAAGCGCAGCUUAAUAAUUUGCUCAACCCAUGAUUAUGAUCCGACUUUGAGCAUCAAAAGGGACAGACCUCUCCUCUCUCAAGGAAAAGUCCAUAUCCUUCAUUCCUAGGGUAAACAAAUUUGAAAAUAUUAUGAUAACCUUCAUGUGCACCUGUCUUAGGUUUGUAUUUAUCAAUUGUUAACAUCACAACUUUUAAAGAAGUCGUUUUAUAGAAAUCGCACUUGAUAUCGACUUCUUUCUUGGUGAAUGCGCAUACAUGAUUUGUUGAUGAUUGACACCUGGCCAAGCUCGUAACCGGAGGCACACUAGCUGCAUUAAUUUAACCUAAUCUUGAAUUUGGUGUCCCCGUUAAUCUAAGGGCCAGCCUCAUUACCAUUUUGAUCGUGUGAGAUCGAAUCUUAUUGGUCUAGCAAAUCAAAUUCACAUGGGCAUUAGCCAAUAGCAAGCUGUGUUGACAGACAGUCACCGCACCUUUGUGAUUAUUGGUCGCUUAACCUUUACUUAUGCAUGUUAUCAAUAAAGUAAUGUAACUAGUGCUUUUAAUUAAAGCGAUUUAUUCUAAUAAUGAAACCCAGAUGUGCUUAAGUAUGAAUAUAUGCUUUAUUGUGGUAAUAGAAUAAUUCUUUUUGGACAGAAAUGCACAAAGAUAGUUGGGGAUCAGGUGUACGGAUUCUUUCCCAUUGGUUUAGCCCUACACAAGCGUGCCAAGGCUUCCCUCGGUUGGAGGGUAUGGUGAUUUAAGUCCUUCACAUGUGUGUCACCAACGGCUUCGUUCUUAUCCAUGCUGUUAGAUUUCCUUCCCACCUUGCAUUAAAAAAACCCUAAUAAAAUUACUGUAUUUGAUUCAAUUUUUGAUGGGUUUUUAUUCUUCAUGUAAGAAUAUAUAUAUAUUUUUAUUCUUCAUGUAAGAAUAUAUAUUUUUUUGUUAAACUGAUAUCAUAUCCUAGAAAAGUGAAACAGUAGAAUCAUUCUCAUCAUAAAUAUGUAAAUUAUAGGGAACCUCAUAAGCCCUUUUAGAAUGUAUGCAAUACUUUAUCGGCUUUCAUCUUUUAAUCUAAGGAAAUCAUCUCUUAAUCACCUCAAGUAUAUUGAAAAUGCAAGUAGCCACCACGAGUUUUUGAUAAUAUCUCAGAACCACCUUAAAUUUUAAUUAUUUAUCAACCAACUAUUUUUCGGUUAACUACAUUAAAUGCCAUUAAAAAAUUUUAGAUAAAAGAUUAUUUUACCUUUGGAUUCAUUUAAGAAGUUAAAACAAUAUUUUGGGAGACUCAAGAGGUAGAAUAAUCUCUUACCUUAAAUUAAUUUUUUAAUAGCGGCUAACAAAGUUAACAAAAAAGUCGUUGAUUAACAUAAAUAAAACUAAAACUUGAUAUGGUUAUAAAAUAUAAUUAAAAAUUUAGUACUUUUGAUAUUCUUAAGGUGGGUGAAGGAUAAUUUUCCUCUAAUCUAUAUAUGGUUUUUAAACUUUUAAAGUAAGCAACAUUUGGCACAAACCCACUUUCAGAAUUUCGUUUACAUUAAUUGUUAAGUUUAUAAAGCAAUAUGGCGAUUUUUCGCAAAAAAUAUAAAUUAAAAGAAAUUGAAGUUACAAUUUACUUUCAAAAGCCAUAAAUGGCUUGGUAUUAGAUAGUUCCGAUCCGAUACUAACAACAAAAAAUGUUUCCUAACCAGAAAACGUGCAGCAACCAGGAAAGAAUAUGACCUUUGCGUUUGGAUUUGCGUGAAUCUGUCUUUUUUUUCCAAAUUUGGAAAAUGUCAAAUCUAACUCCAAUGUUCUGUCUGACACGUGAAGAAUCCCACGCUGAAAUAUGUUUUUUUUUUUUUUUGCGUUUGGAUUUGCGUGAAUCUGUCUUUUUUUUCCAAAUUUGGAAAAUGUCAAAUCUAAAUACCACCCUGAAAUAUGUUGUUUGCGAAUCCCACGCUGAAAUAUGUUUUUUUUUUUUUUAAAUACCACCCUGAAAUAUGUUGUUUGCACUGACCAACUGCAAGUCCACCUGCUUUUAAUCUAGAUUGCUUUAGUUCACAAACUUAGAGUCACUUGGGAAUUGUAAUUGCACAUAGUCUUUAUUGGAGGGGAAAAAAAAAUUCCAAGGGCUUUUAAAUGGACGAUAAAAAAUUGUUUUGCAACUUCAGUUAUUAAUUUCUUAAAUGCUUUCAUUAUUAAUUUAAUUUGGCAUGGUCCAAAGUACAGACCACAUCUCUGAAGACUAGAACCUUCGACAAAUAAGAGGAGGAGGUGCCAAUAAAUCCGAUCCAUUUAUUGGUAUCAUUCAAGACUAUUUGAAAAAGGAAAACAUAUAUAAAAUCAUAUGUAUACCUGUCGUGCCCCGCGUCAGUUAGGUAUACGUCGGCCGUGGGCGACAUGAAAAAUAAUCAUAGUAGAUGUAUGCCAUCUGAAUAGAUCUCGUCAGUUACCUUGCAUUUGAAAUCCUCAGUUUGCAAAAUCCUUCAAAAUCACUCAAUCAUCAUUUUCCUCAUUAAGCUUCUGUAUCAUAUUCCCCAGAACCCUUGUCCUAUAUAUAUAAAGCUUUUGAUGUCCAUAUUCCAAAACACGGACGCUAAUUUAUCAUUUCACUACUAGUGCCGUUUGGGCUCAACAAAGUAAGUUUUUUAUCUAAUCAUCUUCAGUUUUAAAGUUUAUUAAUACUCCUUGGUUUUGGUUUAAUCACCAGAGCAAUUUACAGCUGAUCUGUCUCUAUAUGUGUUGCGGCAGAAACCCUAAAAAUGGGACGAGGAAAGAUUGUGAUUCAAAAGAUUGAUAAUUCAACAAGCAGGCAAGUGACUUUCUCAAAGCGAAGAAAGGGAUUAAUCAAGAAAGCAAAAGAGCUAUCAAUUCUUUGUGAUGCAGAAGUCGGACUUGUAAUAUUUUCCAGCACCAGCAAGCUCUAUGAGUUUGCAAGCACCAGGUUUGUUUGCUGACUGACUACGGUACCGUUAUAAUUUUAUGUUUUUCUCUUCAUUUUUGCUACCACGUAUGGCUUAAUUUUUUGGAAUCCUUCAGGAAACAGAAGUUUUUUUUUUUUUUUAAUGGAGGAAACAGAAAAGUUAUAUCCAUGGUUUUUUUGUUUUGUUUUGCUGCAUAUCCAUGGUUAAGCUUACACUUUUGUGAUUAUGGCUAUCAUCAUUACUGCAGCUAUUUUUCAGCUAAAAUACUAGUUCCUUUCGAUAUAAAAUCAUACCUUUUAUAUUUUCAUUCAAAAAAGAUAUUUAUAUUAAAAAGGUUUAUUGAUUUUGGUUUGUAAUGAAGCCUAUAUUUAGGUUGCGCACUGCAUUAAUAAGAGUUGACUGAAAGGCAUUGUUUUUGGCAUAUGCAUGCUUUAAAGAGAUCGCACUAGUUGUAGCACAAGCAUAAAUAUGAGAUGAUACAACAAAGCCUCACUUUCAUUGUUCUAAUGAAGUUGACACUUUAUAUAUCAUAGGAUAGCCACGUUCUAUAGAGGAAGACUAUUUUAGCAUAAUUAUAAAGAAUUGUAGAUGGAGAUAUGGAGCUUUAGCCUGAAUUGGAUUUGGCUCAACGGACAUAGGAUGAUGGGAAAUGGAGUGAACUGAUGUACAGGCUGUAAGUCUGUUAACAAAGGAAAAGUACUUGAAAUUCGUCACUCCUAGGGAAGGACUUCUUUAUUGCCACGCCACUGGCUUGGGUGGUGAGUAACUAAUGAGGAUAAUGCUAGCAUUCUCAAAGGUUUAUCUCAAUAAAAUCCUAAAUCAUAUGACUUUCAUCAUAGGGAGGAUAUAAUGAUGAAUUGAAAGUAUAAAAAAAUCACCCACUAAACCAACAACACAUUAUAGAAUACCUCAUUUUAGAUACAUUAAAAGUUAAAACUAAUAGAAGAUUUAUUUAAUAUUGUGGUGUUAUAUCUUUUAAAUCACGACUAUUAUGAAGUAGAAGAUCUACCUAUGAAAUUAAAGUUGAUCAUUUUUUGUAAAUAUAAUUCUUAAAAAAUAAUAAAAGUGAUAUAAUUUUUUGUCAAACAAUUAUGGAAUAAAAUCACAUUAACUUCCAAACUAUAGUCACAGAUCUUUAGAGUUCUGGCUUAAAAGCCCCGGCGACUAAACAACAGUAGCAAAUGGAGACUAAGCAAUGAUCUAUAGCAUCCUCAUUCAGAUCAACAGAUACCUAGUGUCAGUAACAAAGCUUUGUUUAGCUUCUUGAUGAUCUUCUUCUUCUUCUGCAGUAGCGUUUGUUUCUCCUUGCAUUGCACUUCCUGCUUUUGAUAGGCAAAGUAACAAUCUUACUCAUCCUCUCAUUCGGUUCAAUUCACCCUAAAAAUUAAGAAAGAAUGCUGUCAGCAGUUAAUUAUAAAAGCUUUUUCAAUUGAAAAGUACAGUUGUUAAUAUCUAUAAUUAGCUUGGAUUAAUUCCAAGAGCUUUUAAUCAUCAGGUACCAGUUGUUUUGCUAUAGAGACAUUGGGUUUUCUUCAAGUCUGAAAUCCAUUACUUGAGCUCCUGAUUUUACCAAUGGGAAUUGUAUAUUUGUGAUGCAACUUGUUAUUUCAUAUCAUAGACUUCUAUAUAUGCCUGUAUCUGCGUUUUUUUUUUCCCCCCUUUCUUUUUCAAACUGCAGAAAGAUGAUCAUGAAGUCAUGCUUAAUCAUUCUGUGGUUCUAUCAGUAGUAGUAGCAUAUUUUAUUUAUACAUGCAGAUAAAUAGAUGAUACCACAUUGAUAUAAGGAAGUUUGGUUAAUUCAUGCUUUGAACUUAUGAGUACUGAAAUUCUUAAGUAAGCAAGCAGAGAUCAUAAACCAUGAUUCAAUUAGUCAUUAGUAUUGACGACAAGCACAGUCAGCUAGAUCAUUUCAUUAUUCUAUGGAGACAUGCCGACUUCUGUAGUAGCAUGAAACAAAUGAUUCCUCACAAUUGAGGUUUUUUCCUUCUGCUAGUUCCUUCUUAUUGUACUGUACAUGUAAAAGGUUUUCUUUCGAGAGGCUGUAUGAAGAUUAGUCACACAUGGAGGGAUAGUUUUGGUUCAUGGGUAAUCAAAAUUAAAUUAAUUUAAAAAAGUUCGUUGGCUCCAAAGCAAAGCUGUAAAAGUAUUUAUUAAACACUUGCAAACUGGCUUAAUUAUCCUACAAUUGUCAACCCUCUUGAUAGUUAGAACAGUAGUGACUUAAAAGCCACAACUACCAUAAUAUCCAAAAAUUCGUUUUUUAGGAUUUUCUGAUUCCCAACGUGCAAUAAGAAUAUAUGCACUUCAGAAUAUAUAAGGUAAAAUUCUAAACUUGAGUUGGAUGGAAAUGAGUAAACCGAUCUCAAACUCAAACUCUAUUAAUCCUUGGCUGGCAGUCAAGUAUAUCAAAGGAGAGAAUGACACUUUUCUAUGUUUUUAAUUAGCUAGGGUUUACCAUUUAUCCCUAUAUAUAUUUUUAUUUAUUUAUGUGAAAUCAAAAAGAUUUGAUAGAUCAACCAACGGGAAUUUAGUUUAGCUUGACAGUUUAUGUUUCCGAGAAUUCUAAAAAUUAAUAGAAUUUUGAGUGCUAUUGCUACCCUGAAGUUAGGUAUUGGAGCACUUCCUCCAAUUAAUCAGUUGUUCUGUAAUGGUUGAACUCUUAUUAUCAUCUAUGGAUGUGGCUAGUAGAUUCCCUCGUUCAAAGAUUUAAAAGUUUUUCUUCAAGGAUAUUCAACCAUGAGAAGUAUCCCUCCUGUGUGUGUCUAUAUACGUAUAUGUAUGUAUGUAUGUAUGUAUAUAGUAUUUGGUAAACAUUUACUUUUAUUUGCCCAUUUAACUUUGAAAAUAACACAAUUUGAAUAUUGGGUAAUUGUACUCAAUUUUAUUUGGUAGCUAAUAUCUCUACUCAUGCACUUGACUUCACAGCACUUGGGAUUCUAUCCCACAUAGAUUGAGGAUUAACCAACACCUCAAUCAUACAUGUCCUAACGGGAUUAGCGUUUGAAGCCUUUCCAAGUGCGAGUGAAUUGAGUUAAAAAAUGAUGUUUUCACUAAACCUUUCUGUACGAAUUGCGCCCUUUCAACAGGAGGCAUAAUCUUACGAAAAAGCUUUGUUCUAUGUAUAUGAUUAUGCAUGAAUCUAAUCAGUGUAUUGGCUUACCAGCAUGAAAGCAGUUAUUGAACGGUAUAAUUGCCUAAAAGAGGAGCAUGAACAAUUGCUGAAUCCACCAUCAGAACUCAAGGUAUAUUCUAUUAACUAAUUCUUGCCAUAUUUCAGUGAUUUUUUUUUUUUUUAAUGCAUCACACGUGACAUUUAUUCAUCAAUCCUGUGAAAAGUAUACCAUAUGACAGUUCCUAAUAAUAACUGGCUAUGAUUCGGAGUAUUUUCCUCAAUGAUAUUGCUCAGAAGUCUAAAGUUCACAAAAUUAAUUUAUCCAUUAGCAUAUAGCAUUACAAUAAUAGAUGAGGAUUCAACAUUACAAUAAUAGAUGAGGAUUCUCUCCUUACAUACAUGGGCGGAUGUAGCAUGUGACCGGUGGGGGCUCAAGCCCCUACUGGCCAAUUUUUUUUUUUUAAAUAGAAGAGAAAAAUAUUUUAAUUUUCUAAUUAGUCCCCGUUAAAUUUAUUAAAAUAGUCACUAUAAAAUAUAAAUCCCCAUAAAAUUUAAACUUUGACUUUUAAGAAUUAUAAAAACUUAUAUUUUAAUUAAAAAUAAUGAUAGCCCACCACUCAAAAUAUUUUCUAUUAUAAAAAAUAAGAUUAAUUCUUCUAGUUUCUAUAAUAAUAAUAGAACGAACGUUUUCAAUAAUGAAACUCAUGAAGAAUCAUCUUUGGAAUGGAUGGGAUAAAUGAUAGUUUAGUUGUUUAUAUAGGAAACAAUAAAUUUAAUAAUAUUGAUAAUGAGUCUAUUGCAUAACAUUUUUAAAAUAUAAAAAUGCGUAGAGAAUAAUUAUAAAUGCAUUAGCAAAUAUUUUAUAUAUUCAAAAUUUUAGUUUUUUAUAUUUUACUAUUAUCUAAUUUAGCCCCCAGUAAAUUAUUUUUCUAAAUCCGCCACUGCUUACAUAAGCUUUUAUUUGAAUAAAUACAAUUAUGUGAUUAGUAGUUAUCAAAAAGAAAAAGGAAAUAUAGAAGUAAAUUUUGACCAUAUAUAAAUAAAUGCAUCAUGGAUGAUAUAUUAUUCAUUAAGUGGUUGAUAAUUUUUUACAAGAUCCAAGUAAAUUAAUUUCAUUAUCUCAUCAAUUAUUGAUGAAUAUCACACCAUUUAGGUCAAUUUUUUGAGAUUAAAAUUUUAAGAUAUGUAGCACUACUCUAAAUAAAGCUACAUAUAAAAUUCUUUAAAACUCACAAAUUCAAAUUAUGAGAGUACAUGUCUGUUUGUAAUAGGCAAUCAAGCAGCAUUCAUGAGAGGUAUUAACUGGCAUCACCUAAUAAAGGAGGCCAACUCCAAUUACAUAAGAAAAUUAUUUGAGUGUCGUUUGGCUUGUUACUUAAUGCCAAGUUAACUAUAAUGUAAAUUGAGUUUCUUUGAAUGGAGAAAUCUAGAAUACAUUAAAAGUACUAUAUCAACCAUAUAACAAGCAAAAAUGAUAUUAUGACGUGUGUAUUUUUGGAAACCACUAUACAAGUAAUGGUUAUAUUAAAUUCAAUUACAUAUGUCAUACAUGCAUUAGUUACUUGCAUUAUCUCUAAUAUAUUCUAAAAUUCCUUUGAAAGCUUUAAUGCAUUUACUCUCUCGCAUAUCAUUUUCAUGCAUUUAUCCGUUAAAGCAACUUGUCUUCACUUUCACAGAAUUGGUUGCACUUAAUUUCUUCUAUUUUACUUGUUAGUUUUGGCGAAGAGAGGCGGCAGUCCUACGGCAACAACUGCAAAGCUUGCAAGAAAACCAUCGGUACAGUCUUUCUUGUGAUCAGACUUAAAAUUCCUUACUAUUGCAUUACAUGUAUACUUGUAUAGUGUACAAAUUUAAAGGUAGCAGAGUAAAAAACUCUCAAGUAUCUAAAAGUAAGCUAUGUAAUUGCACGUUUUAUAGUUUACCAGGCAAAUUCACAGUGAGGGAAAAAAAAAAUUCCCAAAAAUACUGAUAACACCACAGAGUCCAUUGGCAUAAUAAAAAAUGAAAAAUAAAAAGCAGAGAGAUUACAUUAGCAAAGUUGAAGGAGCAGAUAAGAUGGCACGACCAACUGCUAAUAGCUUCACUAGUACCCUUGACUCGUUCAUGUGGCACAUCAUUAUGAUUUAGUUUAUUAAAUAACUAUUUACAGAAGCAGGAGAUCAUUGUUUGAUGUAUUCCUAGUUCUAGGUAUGCUCAGAAUGUAUUAGUUGCUUGCGUCCUUCAUCUAGUUUGUCACAGCCUAAGCAGUUCUAUAUUUUGAGUAAUAGCAGAAAUCAGCAUCACAAAUUGAAAGGCGGCACAAAACUCCUCAGGCAAACACACAUUUAUUUCUCAAAUUUCACUUAUUUAGGGGUCAGUAGAGACAUGCGCCUAACAAAGCCAAGGCAUUUACUAUCAUGUGCUCGACCUCUACUCAAUAAUAUAUAGAAUUGAUAUGCUUUUAUGUGGCUAAGGAUCAAACUAAAAUUACGAUAUAAAUAACAAUCGAAAUAAUAUCCAAAAACUAUUUGGCUCCAAAGUUAAAGCAGAGCUCUUUCUUCCCCAUUUAUCUAACCAACAUACAAACAUUGACAUUGUAGAUCGCGACAUGAAAACACACGUUAAAUGGCUACCGACCUACUGUGUGGAGCAUGCCGAUUGACCCUAAAUGUUGCAAUUCUGAUAUGCAGGCAAUUGAUGGGAGAACAGCUAUAUGGUUUGAGCGUCGAAGACCUACAAAAUCUGGAGAAUCAACUGGAAAUGAGUUUGCGCGGUGUUCGUCUUAAAAAGGUUCUAAUUUUUCAGUGCCCAUAAAUGCUUAUACAGCCCAUUUGAUGCAAACGGAUGAUAGUUAACAAAAUUUUUAACUUGUGCAGGAACAAAUGUUGACUGAUGAAAUACAAGAACUGACCCAAAAGGUCUUUCCGAAAUAACACCAGUUAUUUACUGAUGAUCCUCUAUCCAGAUCCGAUUUCCUAUAAUACCUAUUCCUUAUUUCUGCUACAGGGGAGUCUUAUACAAAAGGAAAAUCUAGAGCUCUAUAAGAAGAUAAGCCUCAUUCGUCAAGAAAAUAUGGAACUCCACAGGAAGGUAUGCAUGUUAAGUUAAUCAGUCAUACUGAUUCAGACAUACCAGGAAAACGCUUGUGUUAAUCAUCAGUACAUUUAUGAACUCGUAGAAUGUGUCAAGCCAAUAAUCUCACUUACCAACAAAUGAAUCGUGUCUCAGGUUUAUGGCACAAGGGAUGCGAAUGAAGCAGGUGGAAAUGCCUUCGUUCAAUAUGGCUUGAACAAUGGAGAAGUCUCGCAAUUGCCCAUCAAUCUUCGACUGAGCCAGCCUAACCAAAAGUUAUAGCAGACCAGAAACAGCAACAGAGCGAUUAAAAGGUAUUAGGAAAAAAUAUUUAGAAGAAAAGAAAGCAUCUUUUUUACAACUUUGAAAAGAAGAAGAAAAGGUCAAUGCUGAAAAAUCUUCAUUUCAGGAUUGAUCCAAUUAUAGAUUACCUGAAACUGCUGUACUACGUUAAAGAAUAUAGAGGGUGCUGAAAUAUGUUACCAACUCGAUCUCGGACAAUUGUAAACAGGCUUACAAUUUUCGUGUAUUUAAAUAAUUUGCAAAUUGAAGACAUAAUUGAAGCAUGUAAUUUGCAAAUUCCGAAAAAGAAAGCAUAGUUUGUGCAUUAAAUGUUUAAGUUCAAAAGGUUUCUAUAUGCAUUGCUUACCUUGAUUCCUUUCCUUUUUUUUGUCAUGAUCAUAAUCCUUAGUGAUUGCAUUGCUUUUAACUUUAUAUUUACUGUUCAUUUAUACAUUAAUUAAAAGCUUAUGCGUUGCUGAAAAUAAAUCGUAAGAGCGGCAAGUAUAAUGGCAGCAAAAACAGAGAAGAAAUAAUGGAAAAUGGAUUAAUUGAGUUAAAAAAUAUUAUUAACACUUGAAAGAAAUGAUCAGAUAUUUAGAUUCUUAUCUGUAGAGCUUAUGAGAGCGCUGACUGUUGUUGUUGACCGAAAAUUUUAAAUAAGUGUGAAAUUAUAUUGAAGAAUUUCUUGAAUCUUUUUUAUUUCAUCAAGUGAGCGAGGCUUAAUUUAGAAUCCACUACUCUACUGUAUGGUAGAGCACCACUGGACCGUCGCAUUACCUCCUAUCUUACACAGUUACACAAGGUUUUCUCCCACUUCUCUAGCUUGGGCUGGCUUUCUUUUCGGUUUGCUAACCCAAUUCCUAAUCCAUCUACAAAGUUCGAGUUAUCCUGCUAUUAGUGCGAUGGUGAAUGUCACAUCUCUUCAUAUAGGAAAACUUGAAAAUAUUUUGUAUGAAAUGGUCUUAAUUAUCAUGUCAUUUAGACUUCCAAUUGAUUGAGUAUCUAGAGAUAUACUCAUAUACAUGCUUUGUAUUUGAGACACAAUCAUCUGAUUCAAUGAAUUAAUUAAUAAUAUAUGAGUUAUAAAUAAAACCUAUGAAUAAAUUUUUUUUGACAUUAUCUUUUAAUGACUGAUACUAAUGAUUACAACUACUAAUAAGUAAAAAAAAACAUCUUAUAUCAUGCGACAGAGGGGAAAUAUUGAAAUUUUCAAUUAUAGAAACAUAUUUCUCUUUUUAUUAUAUGUCUACACAAACAUAGAUUAUUUUGUUGAGAACUCACAAGUCCACUCUUCUGUCAUCACUUCACAGACUCGCUCAUCAAGUUGAGAAGGCCCGUAACCCGGCCUCAUAUGCGGUCUCAUCGCAAUUAUUUUGUUUGCUAUCGACUGCCCCAUAUUCCACAAAAUGACCAAAAUUAAUUUGCUAUUGCCUUCAUCGGCUGGGUAAGCAAAAAUAAUCACAAUCUCUUUGGCGGAUUUGGGGUAAUGAAUUAAUUAUCAUUUUAAACCUUAAUUAAUUAUGUAUCUAAUUAGUUGCGGCCAACAAACAACUUAGACUAUUCACUAUUACUAUUAAACAGCAGCUAGGAACAUGAUUAUUGUUUCAUUUAAUUCUCUACCUGCAUGCUUUUUAACCCUUGCGAUCAGUCAAAAAAGAAUAUGGGACGCAAGAAUUAAUUAGCGUGGUAGGUGAUGGUAUAUAUGACGAAUAUUUGACAUCUAUUAAGUCAAUAGCACAUUUCAAUCAUUCAGAAGAUCUAGACAACAUAUAUAUUAAUAUUAAUAAUCUCCUUUCUUUUUUCUUUUUUUUUCAACUUUAAAAAGCAUCAGAAAGUAUCAUUACCGCAUCAGUUAUUAGGCAAUUCUGGGUCGAUCCAAAACUUCUAAAUCUUAACUACUAUUAUCAAACUAUAUACAUGUACCAUAAAUGCAAAAGAAAUUACCAACUCAUAAUAUAUAGUUAAACAAAAAUAAAAUGCUUAAAAGCCAAACAAAGAUCUUAAUUAACAGCGACAGCAUUAAUAUUAAUUAUCUGAACUUCAACGCAGCAUGAGUAGCACUCGAUCACGUAAUUAAUCCCACCGAACGUCUCGAAAAACCAGGCGGGCAGCGGCCGGAUUCAUCACGGUGGCAGCCCUCAUCGAAAUUCUGUGAGUAGCUAACGGCAUCAUAAUGAAAAGAUAAAUGUUUAUUGGAUCCAUACGUGCUCUUAUAAAUGCCAUCAACUCUCACCAACCUUCUAAGAAAAUUUCUCCAUCUCCUGCUUGAUCUCUUGCUGCUGCCGCUGCUACUGUAGUGAAUCCGUGAGUACUCAAGCUCUUCAUGCACAGGCAAGCACGUCGACGCCGGUGAUGCCAUGCAACUUGAGAAGUACGAGUAUCGCCGCCGAUGAUGACUGAGAUCUUCGCUCUCCAUUAAUGAUUUGGUAUGUGAUGCGUCUUUUUAAGUUUAACUAAUUUGACAUAGAUGUAAGAUUGAAGCCAAGCUUUUCAUUUAAUUUUUAAUUUCCGAAACAAUGAUAUAAGAUUGAGAAAUGGAUGUUAACUUUAUUUAUAGGUAUCAAACAUGCAGUGAUAAUCUCUAUCCUUUUUGCACCAGUUUUUGUUGACCCUACCAAUGGCUCUCUUUUUCUUUUUUUCUUUCUUUCUCUCCUUUUUUUCUUUUUCUUCCUUGCAAUUAAAAAAAUGCUUUGAAUUUAUGUUGUCAUAAUCUGUGUCGAGUAGGUCAGGUUAGAGGCAAAAAAUUAGAAAAUACGUCAGAGAAGAAUUAAUAUGUUCCCUCACUCGCAAUUAUUGUACUAUACUUCUGACUUAUAGGCACCACACAUGUCUUCUUUACAUGGCCGAAUUAGAUUGGUAGAUUGGACAAUUGGAUUAAAUUUUAUAAAGAUUUUCCACCUGAUUAUGGAAUAUAUAUUAUCAUACGGUAAUCAUUGCAGAAAAUUUGUUCAUAUACCAGUUGGAAGAAUUAAAUCUAAAAUAAAGAGGGUAAAGGUAUAAUUUGUUCAUGGAUCUCAAAUGCACUGGUUUUUUUCCCCUGUAAAUUAAAAUAAUUAUGUGUAAAAAUGAGUUAGUUUAAUUAAUUUGUUACUUGUAAUCGAUGGUCUGUGUACAUAUUAACUAAUGGAUCUUGAUGUUCGUAUACUAGGUGAAUGUUUGCACUAAAAGUCCCAUUUUACUAAAUUUAUCUUCGAUCGGUUGAAUCAAAUUUUUAGUUAAUUUUUUUUUAAAAAAGGAAAUCAUGAAAGCUUAAUGUUGAAAUUAACAAUCAUAUUUUUAGUUAAGGUGAUACAUCCAUCAACCGAAACCGUGCAGGCUUAAAAGAGAACACACAUUUAACUUUGUCGUUCUUUUUGUAAUAAAAGAUGAUUGGCUGAGAAUACUAGCUAAUUUGGUCCAACUCGCAUGAUUAUGAGCCAUUAUCUUUCAUGAAUCCUGCUAACUCGUUGAAUUUUUUAUGUUAGAAAAAAAAAAAAUUCCCAACCAGUGAUGUUGACUGAUUGAACAGGUCGAUCGCUUCUUAAUUGUUAAAGCAGGUUGAUGGUGGUAGGUUGCGUAAAGAAUUUCAAUUAACCGAUCGACAGCUUUAGUUAUUUAAAACGUAAAUCAAAAUUAGUUAAAUACGAAUCAUAGUUUUAGCAAAAUUUCCAUUUCAGCAGGUCGCAGUAAAUUAAGUAGUGGGAACGAGCAACUAAAUAUGCAUGUAUAUGAUGGACGAUCACGGAGAGUUGACAAUCGAACUGCUGAUAAUCACUGGCAUUGAGCUGUGUGGAUAAAACAGAAGCAAAGCAAGUUGAGAGGAACAAAGAAUAGUGAAAGCUUACAACCAGAGUAUGAAUGCAUGUGAUUUAGGCAGAAGGAGACCAGCAGCUGCAGUCUCCCCCACAAAAACUCGUGGGGACUUUUUGGUUUCUUGUCGUGAUUCUCUAAAAUUGAGAUAAGAGGUAGCAGAUUACACACUGGCAUAUGUAUGAAAACAAUACAGGCCCUCCAGGCUCUAAGAUUCGGUGUCCCCAUCCCCAUCUCUUUCUUUAUCGUGUUCUGUCCAUCCUCGGAUUCCUUUUUAUAUAUCCUCCCUAAUUUUACCAUUAAUUUUUGACAUCGUAAUCUCGUAUGGGUCUGUUCAUAAUUAACUAAUUUUAGCCAUUAUCGAUAUGGGUAGCUAUAUUGAAAGAUGGGUCCAUAUUAGAUGAAUAGCCUAAAGUAGCAAGAAAAAUGGGAAAUGACUCCACAAAGAGCCCCUUCCAUUGACGCAAUAAUGAGUGAAAAAUAAUUAGUCAGCCAAACGUCAAAACCAUCGCCUAUAUACAUAUAGAGAGAGAGAGAGAGAGAGAGAGAGAGAGAGAGAGUUAACUUUUUUGAAAAGAAGUUGCUAAUAAAACAUUUUAGACUUGUUUAUUCGGUAGUAGGAACCCCUGUGAGCAUGUGAAAGAUUGUAAAUUCAGGGAAAGAUAUUGAUCAAUUUCACAUACUGUGGAAAUUAAGCUAAGGAUGCAUCGAGAACAAAAAUGGUGGUUGCACGUGGGCAGAACAAAUGGAGUACCCAUUGUGUUUUGUUCUAAAUUGUUCAUUUGAUUGCUUUUGCAAUCUUUCACUGACUUGUAUCGUCUUGACAUACUUGCCUUUCAAAUUUAAAGAGAGUGAAGCUAUAAUGUCGAACAGGUAGUGCCUGUUGCUUUCGUUUGGUUGAUGAGUUGGUUCUCAUUAUUCUCAUUAAGUUAAAAUGACUGACAAUAUCCGCAAAGCUGGAAUAGCUCAGUUGGUUAGAGCGUGUGGCUGUUAACCACAAGGUCGGAGGUUCAAGCCCUCCUUCUAGCGUGAAUAAACUUUUUACGUUUUUUCGGAUUUUAAUAGAAGCCCAAACAGAGCUUGUUUCCAUAAGAGGCCAACAGCAACUAAAAUAGAAAUGGGCUUUACUGGGGUAGCCCAGUGGAGGGUGAAUGAACUAAGAGCGAAGCAUUCAACACCCCUCUCACACACUUUUGAACUUUAUUUCCCAAAAUACCCUUAGUUUAGUUAAUAUAAUACAAAUCCAUAUAUUAAAAUUAACCAUCUUCCCAUAAAAUUUUAGUCAAAAAAUGUUUUCUUUUUAAUUUGCACACAAAUCCUAAAAUAUUAAAUUUAUCUUAAAACUUUUUUCUUAUUAUAUAAUUUCUAUCUUUAUAAUUCUAAACUCUUAUAAUUUUCUAAGAAAGAAAAUUCUUCAGUUAAAAUUUAAAAUAUAAAUAUAAAUUAUGAAUGAGGUGGGUGUAAGAAGUUUGUGUAAAGAAUAAUUUAUUUAAGUUUUUAGUUGAAUUUCCAUUCCAAAUAAGAAAUGAUUUAGUAUGUGUUAGGUUAUUUAAGUAAUUUCAAUAAAAAAUGUGUUUUAAGAGGGAUUUGAGAGUUGUCAAAAGGCAUAGAAUUUUAAACUAUACGUCAAAUAAAGAAAUAUACGUCAAAUAAAGUACUUAAACUAUCUUUUUAAGAAAUUGAAAGGGUGAUAAGAGCCACCCACCCAAUAAAAUAUAUAUCCUUGCCAUUUGGACUUGCCUGAAUCUGAUAUUUUUUAUGGGUUUUAUUAUAUUAUUAUUUGAGAUUAAAUCUAAUCUUUUUGUUUAGCUGAUGUCAGGAUUGCUGCUUUCUCCGUUUUUAUCUACAUUUUCUAUAUUCUUUAAAUUUUCAAAGUGAGCGAAUGGCAUAUAAAGUCAUCUCAGAAAUGUGUUCAACUUGUUCCCUUCAAGUAAUGAGUUUACAUUAUUAUUGUUGUUAUUACUAUUAAAAUAAAGAUAGAGGGUUAGGAUGUGGGCAAAGUUGGGCAAAGUUCAAACCAACAAUUUCCCAAUAUAUAAAAUAUUUUUAUAUGGGAUUAUAUAAUGGGCAUUUCCGAUUCAACAACCAACUAGAAAGAUAUGUAUCAACCAGAAAACAUGCAAUAACAAAAGAAAGAAUAUAUAUCCUUGCCAUUUGGACUUGCCUGAAUCUGAUAUUUUUUAUGGGUUUUAUUAUAUUAUUAUUUGAGAUUAAAUCUAAUCUUUUUGUUUAGCUGAUGUCAGGAUUGCUGCUUUCUCCGUUUUUAUCUACAUUUUCUAUAUUCUUUAAAUUUUCAAAGUGAGCGAAUGGCAUAUAAAGUCAUCUCAGAAAUGUGUUCAACUUGUUCCCUUCAAGUAAUGAGUUUACAUUAUUAUUGUUGUUAUUACUAUUAAAAUAAAGAUAGAGGGUUAGGAUGUGGGCAAAGUUGGGCAAAGUUCAAACCAACAAUUUCCCAAUAUAUAAAAUAUUUUUAUAUGGGAUUAUAUAAUGGGCAUUUCCGAUUCAACAACCAACUAGAAAGAUAUGUAUCAACCAGAAAACAUGCAAUAACAAAAGAAAGAAUAUAUAUCCUUGCCAUUUGGACUUGCCUGAAUCUGAUAUUUUUUAUGGGUUUUAUUAUAUUAUUAUUUGAGAUUAAAUCUAAUCUUUUUGUUUAGCUGAUGUCAGGAUUGCUGCUUUCUCCGUUUUUAUCUACAUUUUCUAUAUUCUUUAAAUUUUCAAAGUGAGCGAAUGGCAUAUAAAGUCAUCUCAGAAAUGUGUUCAACUUGUUCCCUUCAAGUAAUGAGUUUACAUUAUUAUUGUUGUUAUUACUAUUAAAAUAAAGAUAGAGGGUUAGGAUGUGGGCAAAGUUGGGCAAAGUUCAAACCAACAAUUUCCCAAUAUAUAAAAUAUUUUUAUAUGGGAUUAUAUAAUGGGCAUUUCCGAUUCAACAACCAACUAGAAAGAUAUGUAUCAACCAGAAAACAUGCAAUAACAAAAGAAAGAAUAUAUAUCCUUGCCAUUUGGACUUGCCUGAAUCUGAUAUUUUUUAUGGGUUUUAUUAUAUUAUUAUUUGAGAUUAAAUCUAAUAUUUUUGUUUAGCUGAUGUCAGGAUUGCUGCUUUCUCCGUUUUUAUCUACAUUUUCUAUAUUCUUUAAAUUUUCAAAGUGAGCGAAUGGCAUAUAAAGUCAUCUCAGAAAUAUGUUCAACUUGUUCCCUUCAAGUAAUGAGUUUACAUUAUUAUUGUUAUUAUUACUCUUCCCAUAAAAUUUUAGUCAAAAAAUGUUUUCUUUUUAAUUUGCACACAAAUCCUAAAAUAUUAAAUUUAUCUUAAAACUUUUUUCUUAUUAUAUAAUUUCUAUCUUUAUAAUUCUAAACUCUUAUAAUUUUCUAAGAAAGAAAAUUCUUCAGUUAAAAUUUAAAAUAUAAAUAUAAAUUAUGAAUGAGGUGGGUGUAAGAAGUUUGUGUAAAGAAUAAUUUAUUUAAGUUUUUAGUUGAAUUUCCAUUCCAAAUAAGAAAUGAUUUAGUAUGUGUUAGGUUAUUUAAGUAAUUUCAAUUAAAAAAAUGUGUUUUAAGAGGGAUUUGAGAGUUGUCAAAAGGCAUAGAAUUUUAAACUAUACGUCAAAUAAAGAAAUAUACGUCAAAUAAAGUACUUAAACUAUCUUUUUAAGAAAUUGAAAGGGUGAUAAGAGCCACCCACCCAAUAAAAUAAUAGCUCCCCAGAGUAAUAUUUCGUAUUAAAAAUAAUGAUUGUUUAAUUGAAAGGAGCUGUACAUUAUGGGCCCAGUUUUAUGGCCAACAGGUAAUUGUAAACCCACAAAUAUAGUGGUCGAAGCCCAGUUUCUUGUUUGGCAACAAAAGGAAAAUUGAUUCUUGUCAAUAUUAUUGGUUGAUGAGUGUAAGCCAGUUUCGAAUCGAAUUGUUGUAUCUUUCAAUCCGAAAUGGAAAUAUGGAAUCAGUACAUUAGUAGAAUUAAUUAAACAUCACCCUAGCACAAACCCUCAGUCCACAUUUUGCUUAACAAACAAACAAUAUGCCCUAGUGCUUUUAAAAUUAACCUGAAACACAAGAAUUUGGUCCAUAUGUUAGGUGCUCCUUGCAAGUUGGCAAAUCUCGAAGCCCAACGAAGAUAAAUGAGUGAUUUUAUCCAGGCCGUGUGUGUAAUUCCAGGCCCAUAUCAGUUGAGACUUUUCGUGAAUAAUAAGACAUGGAUCUAAAAUUCACGCCCAGAAGACAGACUUUGAGUGAAAAUAAAAUGUCUGAGAAAGUGACACAAUGCAGGAGUUUGAGACUCUGUGUUUGGUGGUAGAAGAACCGUUCAAAUCAAAGUUUAUGUGGUCACAUUUGCCUCACAAGAACAAGAUAGGAUAUCCCACAUUCACUUUGUGGCUAAGAAACGGUGGAAUUUGGAUAGGGAUUUCACGGCUGGUUUUUAUAGGCCUUUUAUCAAUUUAGUUUUUUCAAUCCGACCUUAGCUUUUCGAAUUUUAGUUUCAGUAUUUUCAAUCAACAUUGUAAUCUUUAUUGCCUAGCAUUUUCCUAAUAAAUAAAGAAUUGAUGCAUCGGACACCCAUUCAUGUACACACGAUGAUGAUAAAUUUAGAACCCAUCUUAAUCAUCGCAAACCACACACAUUUACGUAUUUAAUUUUUGUCAUCUUCGAUAAUCGCGGAACCUAAAAUUAAGAAAUUUAUGAACUAGAAAUUAUAGAAUUUCGAAAGAACAAUUUUAUCGCCUUUACUUGAUGUUUAGCUCAAAAUUUAUAAAGAAUUUACUCGUUGUUGACUAGUCAUUUAUUUUUGGGUAAAAUUAAAAUUAUAAAUUUAUACAGAUGUAACUCGAUUGAUUGAAUUAAGUAUCUCUAAAUUCAUAUGAUUUGUUUUUAUUACUCUUUAUUUUUGUUAUAGAUCGGUGAUUUACAAUAAUUGAGAAUUAUAUAAUCCUUAAUUUAUAGUUGCUAAAUUUGGUGAAUCCGUUGUAGGUGAGUGAGAGCAAAGUAAGAAGAAUUUACUUCUGUUUGAAGGCAAAUUUUAGUGGGAAAAAAAUAGAGGCAGAGACAUGGAACGAACGACAACCCAGUUCACAACGGAAACGACAAAGCCAUAAUUUUCAAACAGAAAAUUUUACUCCAACCACCGAAAAAAAAAAGGAAAAAAGAAAAAAACUCACCCUCAUAGCCAUAACCAUAAUCAUACAACAAACAAAGAAGAAACAGAACACCAUCUUGCAGCGGGAGAGUGAGAAGCAAAACUGGCCAUGGCUCUGGCUCUUCGCAGGCUCUCAUCUUCCCUCGACAAACCCACUCGUCCUCUCUUCAAUGGCUCCUCCCUCUACUACAUGGUCUGUCUGUUUUGCCUCUUUCAUUUUUAUACCAUUUUCUUUGGACUUUCAAAUGGUUCAUUCUGUUCUGUUUGCUCUUUUUGUAAUUUUCUUUUCUUUUUGCAUUCCUUUUCUUUUCGCAGUCAUCUUUGCCAAAUGAAGCUGUUUACGAGAAAGAGAAAAAUGGUGUCACUGUAAGUUGAUAAAUUUUUCUCUAGCUUCCUUCAUACGUUUCCAUUCUGUACCGUACUGGUUUUUUUUUAAUUUAAUUUGUUAAUUUUUCAUGUGGAUAUGGCAGUGGCCAAAACAACUGAAUGCUCCACUUGAGGUCGUUGAUCCUGAGAUUGCUGACAUUAUCGAGCAUGAAAAAGCACGACAAUGGAAGGUAACCUUAUAUCAUUUGUGAGUUUAUUUAUUUUUUUCUUUUGUCCUUCUUAAAGAAAAUUUCAAAUGAACAUCCAUUUAUUCAUUAACUUUGUCUUAACAGUACCUUUUGUUCAUUUUAAUUCACCCCUCUUGCUUUUGGCUGAAAUAAAAUUUUGCCUGUAUCUGGAUUACUAUUUCUCCAAUAUAUGAAAAUUUCAGGUUUCUUUUGGGAUGGAUUUCUUUUUUUUAGAAAAAAUAAUUCUGAAUUAUCUGAAAUAGUUUAUCUAUAUUCAAUUUAUUUUUUACUUUAUAGUUUCUGUCUUGCUGUUAAGCUCCAACUACAUUAAAAAUUUGGAUAGCUUACUGGAAUAAAUUUUGUGUGAUUUUGAAGGGACUUGAACUCAUUCCUUCAGAGAACUUUACUUCAGUAUCCGUGAUGCAAGCUGUGGGGUCUGUCAUGACCAACAAGAACAGUGAAGGAUAUCCAGGUGCAAGAUAUUAUGGAGGAAACGAGUAUGUUGAGCUAAUUAGUUCAAUCUGUGAUGUUUAUUAUAAGCUGAUAUAAGUGACUGGAAAAUUAUGAAGUUGAUUCCUUCAUAUCUACUUCUUUAACUUCGUGACUAAAUUAGCUGUUGAAAAUGAUGGACCUGUCAUUUCUCAGGUAUAUUGACAUGGCGGAAUCCUUAUGUCAGAAGCGAGCUCUGGAAGCAUUUCGGUUGGAUCCUGAAAAAUGGGGAGGUGCAAACUUGUCAUUUGAAAUUCUCGGAAAAAUACUUGUUGUUUUUCUAAUGCUGCAGUAAUUUUCUGAAAGUAUGUCAGUACGAAAAUUCUAUAGGUAUUGAUGUUUAUAAUGCCCAUAUGCAACUUAUCAGUCAGUUAUGAAUCUUUAAAGGAUUGGUACUAACCAAAAUGUUCAUUAUCAAAGGCAAUUUUAAGAGCAUUCUUUGGUGUCAAGGAGACAGUUAAGCGACUUCAUAAUUGAAAAGAAAAGUUUGUGGGAGGAGUUAUGUUACAUGUGAUGACUUAAUGCUUUCUCAUGUUCAUUAUGCCCUGUCAUGCUGCAGUGAAUGUGCAGUCUCUGUCUGGAUCUCCAUCUAAUUUUCAAGUCUACACUGCAUUGUUAAAACCUCAUGAUAGGAUCAUGGCACUUGAUCUUCCUCAUGGUGGGCAUCUCUCACACGGCUAUCAGGUACUCGUAAUUUCUAGAGAUUUUUUAUUUUAUUUUAUCUAAUAGGUAUGUUGACCUGUCCUGCUCUCCUAGACCUUUCAGGUUAAAGGCCCUAUAAUAGGAUUUAAGCUAUAAAUGACCAAUAUCAAGAUCUAUGAAAUCCCAUUUUUAUCAUACCUAACAUUCACUAUCCACAGAUUCUUUAUCCUUAGAGAUUUUAAAGCUACAGGAGCUGUAGUAUUAUAUAACCAAUGAACCUGAUCUCAUCAUUUCUCAUAUUAAAAUGGACUUAGUCUGCAACUUUUCAUCAAUUACGGAGAAAUUUAUUAGUCUAUGUUCUAUUUUCUGGUCAUGUUAUAUGACUGAAUGUAACAUCAAAUAAUUAAUACUGUUAUUUUUAUUUUGCAGACAGAUACCAAAAAGAUAUCUGCAGUGUCCAUAUUUUUUGAGACAAUGCCAUACAGAUUGAAUGAGAGCACUGGCUAUAUAGACUAUGACCAGGUAUUGAAAUUUUAAUAUUUUUGGUACCCUUUUAGGUCCACUAAAUUCCCUAUGAUUACACAAUUUCAUACCAUGGCAGUUGAAGUGAAUGGAAAAGUUGCGUCAUCAAAGUUGGAAUUCAGGCUGUGUAGAACAGACUAAUUACUGAUACGCUUUAAGUGGAAAAUCUUGAAAAUUUAUGGCAGUAAUUCUAUAUUAGUGAGGCUGUUUCUUUUUCUCUCAUGCGAAUUGCAAGAUAUCUGAUUUUCGUAUACAAAGCUGAAGAUUUAACAUGUGCUCUCCAUCAAAUAUAUGGACGUACAGCUAUAAAAUCUUCAAUUUCAUUAACAAUUGAUUUUAGUCCUCCAUGGUUAGCAGGAAAUUGUCAAGAUAAGCAUGCAUCCGAGUUAUCCAUUCAUGUUUUUUCUAUCACCAAAUUUGAUAUUUUGGGUCAUUAUAUACAAGUCUGGACAGAUGGGGAAGGUUGACGAACUUCAAUAAGCCAUGCAUAGAAAUGAGUUUUCAGUUUCAGAUGGUAUUGAUUGGUUGUAUAUACCUUUCAAUAUAUCUGUAAGUAAAAUGUGUUGUGACUUAAAUCAUUGUAUUGCAGUUGGAGAAAAGUGCCACCCUCUUCAGGCCAAAAUUGAUUGUUGCUGGUGCUAGUGCUUAUGCACGAUUGUAUGAUUAUGAGCGUAUUCGCAAGGUAAUCUCCAUUAGGUUGAUCCAGUCUAAUCCAAUUAUGAUAGUCCUACAUCAAAUUUUAAGGUUUUGGCCUGUCUUGAUGGUUUAGAAGGUCUGAGGUUUCAUAUUCUAAAGUGUUUUAACAGGUUUGCAACAAACAAAAAGCUAUAAUGUUGGCAGAUAUGGCACACAUUAGUGGUUUGGUUGCUGCUGGUGUCAUCCCUUCACCUUUUGAGUAUGCAGAUGUUGUGACCACCACAACUCACAAAUCACUUCGUGGGCCACGUGGAGCCAUGAUUUUCUUUAGGAAGGGAGUGAAAGAGAUUAACAAACAAGGGAAGGAGGUGAGUUGUUAAAAUGAAAUAAUAGUUUUGAGUAUAUAGUAUAAUUCUUUCUUGAAGGGACACUAUGUUGGUUUAAUUGAAGCAAAUCUUUAUGCCUACGAGUUGUUGCGUCAUCAAAGUUGGAAUUCAGGCUGUGUAGAACAGACUAAUUACUGAUACGCUUUAAGUGGAAAAUCUUGAAAAUUUAUGGCAGUAAUUCUAUAUUAGUGAGGCUGUUUCUUUUUCUCACAUGCGAAUUGCAAGAUAUCUGAUUUUCGUAUACAAAGCUGAAGAUUUAACAUGUGCUCUCCAUCAAAUAUAUGGACGUACAGCUAUAAAAUCUUCAAUUUCAUUAACAAUUGAUUUUAGUCCUUCAUGGUUAGCAGGAAAUUGUCAAGAUAAGCAUGCAUCCGAGUUAUCCAUUCAUGUUUUUUCUAUCACCAAAUUUGAUAUUUUGGGUCAUUAUAUACAAGUCUGGACAGAUGGGGAAGGUUGACGAACUUCAAUAAGUCAUGCAUAGAAAUGAGUGUUGAGUUUCAGAUGGUAUUGAUUGUUUGUAUAUACCUUUCAAUAUAUCUGUCAGUAAAAUGUGUUGUGACUUAAAUCAUUGUAUUGCAGUUGGAGAAAAGUGCCACCCUCUUCAGGCCAAAAUUGAUUGUUGCUGGUGCUAGUGCUUAUGCACGAUUGUAUGAUUAUGAGCGUAUUCGCAAGGUAAUCUCCAUUAGGUUGAUCCAGUCUAAUCCAAUUAUGAUAGUCCUACAUCAAAUUUUAAGGUUUUGGCCUGUCUUGAUGGUUUAGAAGGUCUGAGGUUUCAUAUUCUAAAGUGUUUUAACAGGUUUGCAACAAACAAAAAGCUAUAAUGUUGGCAGAUAUGGCACACAUUAGUGGUUUGGUUGCUGCUGGUGUCAUCCCUUCACCUUUUGAGUAUGCAGAUGUUGUGACCACCACAACUCACAAAUCACUUCGUGGGCCACGUGGAGCCAUGAUUUUCUUUAGGAAGGGAGUGAAAGAGAUUAACAAACAAGGGAAGGAGGUGAGUUGUUAAAAUGAAAUAAUAGUUUUGAGUAUAUAGUAUAAUUCUUUCUUGAAGGGACACUAUGUUGGUUUAAUUGAAGCAAAUCUUUAUGCCUACGAGUUUACCUGCAGG